CGAGCCACUGCACUCCAGCCUGGAAGAUAGAGUGAGGUUCUGUCUCAAAAAAAAAAAGUGUCAUCUCCACCACUGGCUCCCUGGGCCACAGACAGGCAGGGAGGAAAAGGACUCAGAUCCCUCGUGUGCCUUCCACCGACGGCUUCGCCUCCUCCUCUAACAGGCCUGUGGUCUGAUGUUGAGUCCAUGUGGCCCCCAGUCUAUGCCGGAGGUACUCCCCGGCUAACCCUAGAAGCCAGUUGUAUUAGUCCUUUUUCAUGCUGCUAUGAAGAAACACCCAAGACUGGGUAAUUUCUAAAGAAAAGAGGUUUAAUAGACUCACAGUUCUUCACAGGGCAGCAGGAGAGAGAAUGAGUGUUAGCAGGAGAAAUGCUGGGCACUUAUAAAGCCAUCAGAUCUCACGAGACUCACUCACUAUCAUGAGAACAGCAUGGGGGAAACCGCCCCCAUUAUCCAAUUACCUUCAUCUAUCUAGUCCUAACUUUAACACGUAGGGAUUAUGGGGAUCGUAAUUCAAGAUGAGGUUUUGGGUGGGGACAAAGCCAAAUCAUAUCAACGAUGUUAUCCUGUCAGAACUCAAGAGAAGGGUGAGGGCUGGGGGAGGGCCGGGGGAUGAGCCCAUCUGAAGUGGCCAGUGGAAGCAGUUGGCCUUCUGGAGAGGGAGGCAGGAAAGGCUGGGAGGUAGGUGGCCUUGGAGGCCCAGAGGGUAGGGGGAGAACGUGGGGGUGGAGUGACAGCUGGACAUCCCGAGGUAGGGACUGGAAAAGGAGGCCUAGGGAGUUCCAGAUGUACCCACCUUUCUCUUUGUAACUUAAUGCUGGUUGCAUGACCUGUAGGUAACGUUGCAGGGGACUUGGGGUACAGUAUGAGCUCUGUGGUUCCCUGCUUUGAGAAAAGGAAUCCUCUUUACAAACUUUCUAUGUGAUUGUGGUGGGGGUAAUAAUAAAGAGAGCCCCCCACUGCCCACCACAAGGGCAGUCAGAGGACCCACAUUGGCCAGAGUGUGUCACACAUUGGACGUGCUUAUUAGGUUGGGAUCAGCACGUGGACAGCAGGGCCAACUAGGGUCCAUUGUUAGGAAACUGAGUGCUGGGAGAGCAGUUGUCUCUCCUUCGGCAUGUGCUCUAAGGAGUCUGAGCUUGGACCUGCUGAGCACCAUAGCUGUCUCCUGGGGAGACUGUGUCUGAAGCUGGAGCCCAACAGAGCCCUGCAGAGGCCAGAGACGGGGAGGGAAAGUUCAGGACCUUGCUUGGACUCCUGGAUCCAACCUCACUUCAAAGUCAUGGUCACGGAUUUCCCAGUUAGAGAGCUCACCUUGAGAGGUGGGGUCUCUGUCCCAUCCCCUGGAAUCUAGGUGAGCUCUAUGACUUCUCUGACCCAUAGAGUGAGGCACAUGGUGCUGUGCCCGCUUCUAAGCUCAGGGCUAAGAGGCUGUCAGCUUCCACUUCUUGCCUUUCUGAUCCAGAUGCCAUGCUGUGAGAAGGCCCAAGCCACAUGGAGGAGCUGUGCCUAGGCCUGCAGACCACAGCCCUCACUCGGUUCCCAGCUGCCAGCUAUGUGAGGAAGCCACUUGGGAUGUCCAGCCCUGUCGGGCCUUUGGAUGACUCAGACGCCAUCUGACUAACCCAGGGAGAGACCCCACACAACACCUGCCUGGCUUAGCCAAGCCAACUCCUUCAACUGUGAAAGAUGGUGACAAAUUAUUGUUUUAAGCCACUAGGUUUUGAGGUUAUUAUGCAUUAUUUGAAAAUAAUUAAAAUUAUUUCAAAAACUGUUUAUUGUGACUGAUAUGGAUGCCUAAGGUCCUUGCAUAAAUGUGUCCUCACUUGAUUUAGAUGCCAAAAUAGGAAUCUGCACCUUGAAUCUCAUCAUGAGCUCCAUGAAGCUUUGGGUAGCCUCAAGAAUUCUAGAGUGCAGGGGCUUAAAUUCAAAUAACUCUGGCAGAACACUGAUGGCCUCCCUCCUCUGGCUGUAUCAUGCACAGCCUGCUUCAGCUAAGGGGACAGAAGGAGGGAGCCAGCAUUUCUCUGAGAACCAAUUAUAAACACCUUGGGGGAACUCUCAUGAUCAGUAAGAUGCUCUCAGAGCAUCGCUUUAUGCAUAUGCUAAGAAGCUGGGGCAAGAGUAGCUUUUUUUUUAAUAGUACAUUUCAUGUAAAUUUUUACUGAAGUGAACAGACAUAUACAAAAAUACACAAAUUAUAAUUAUAUGGUUCGAUUAAUCUUUGCCAAGGGAACCAUGUCACCAGCACUCAGAUUCAAUAAUUGAACAUUGUAAGCACCCAAGAAACUGACUUGCACCCUGUGUUGAUCAUGCCCCCCCAACAGUGAUAGUCACCUCAUUCUCCAGAGGCCUUAGGCAUUGCCUCAGGAUCAUGGUGGAAGCUUCUCUGGGUGGGGCUGCUUGGGGACCAGCCAUCCUGCAGUGGGCCCAUGAUAAGCACCUGUGGCGCCACACCCCUGGCUAGCAGGCCUGCUGGGAACACCUGUAGGAAGACCUUGGCAGGAUCAUUGGCCCUUGAGUCAGCUGCUUGCUCAACUUCAUGAUCAGAGAUAAAGGUGAAUGCAAGUACUGUGGCCAUGCCAUGCUUAGGACUCGAGAAUGGUGCAGCCUCUCUGUAGGCCAGGGAAGGACCACUAAUAUGGCUCCCAGCCAAGGGCCUCAGGGAUUCUGAAUGGCACAGUCUCUGCAGAACUUGCACUGUGUGGCUUCAGGUCUUCCAGGACAGCUAAAAUGUGUGGGCCUUGAGGGUGCCUUUGGGUGCUCAUAGCCUCAUUAGGGAGAUGAAGAGGUGAGCAGAUGUCACAUAUGCCAAGACAGUGGAAGCAUUAAGAAAGGGGAAAGGAUGGGGAGGAUAUCACCCCAAAGGUAUGGGAAAGGACCUGGUAUGUCUGGAAAGUGAAGAAGGCCAGUGUGGCUGGAACAAAAGGCACCUGGCCAGAGAGCUGGGAGAUGAGGGCAGACAAGGAGGAAGGGGCUUUCCAGGCAAGGCUGAAGCCUGGAUUUACCCAGAAGGCAAUGAAGAGCCACCAGACACUUUAGGGGGCCCAUGGUGUUGUAAAAUGAAGCAUUUGGGCUUUGUCCCAGGUUCCUGGAAGGGAGCUUGGCAUUUUCAGGGUGGCAGGAGUGUCUUUGCUAUUCAUCGUGGGUCCCUGGGGCCACACCGGAGUUUAUGCUGACCAGGUGCUUCAAGGUGGGACUCCAUAGCUUCAGGAUGCAGGCUGGCCAACCAUGGCAAGACCAGCCAUGUGAAUAAAGGGUCAGGACUUUGAGCCACAUGAUAUCAGCCUGACCUCUGGGGAGAGAGUGGGUAUUGGAAUUGAGUACAAAGGUGUAAGCAAUGAUUUCAUCAAUCAUGCCUAGGUAACAAACCCCAAUAAAAACUCUGGACAUUGUAGCUCAGUGCAGCCACCCUGGUUGGUAAUCGUAUAACCGUGUUCUGGGAGGCUUCACAUUUGGGAAUCUCCCCAAACCUCUCCCUGUGCAUCUUUUCAUUUAGCUUGUCCUGAUUUGUACCAAUCAAUAAAACUGGAAUUGUAAGUGCAGAGGUUGGUGAGUCAUUCUAAUGAAUUAUUUAUUCAACUUGAAGCCCUGAGUGGGAGCCUCUAUCUUGGUAGCCAGUGAUUGGAAGUGUGGGUGCACUGGGAAUGCAGCUGGCAUCCUGCAGGGCCCUAAGUCUGUGGCAUCUGUGCUAACAUCAGGUGGUUACUGUCAAGACUUUCUUCACUCAGUCAGGUCUGUGCUUCAGGUGCACUGCUCUGUGGAGUGGGGAGGGGGCCUGGAGUGCAUUUCUGCUCAUGGGGCUCAUGAUUUGAACUCAGGCCUAAUAUGUUAAUGAGCAGACACCUGGCCAAGCCCUGGGGGCCUCAAAAAACCAAGACAGGGGAAGCAUCAAGAAUGUGAUGAGAGAGUACGCGGCCAUGGGAGUGUCACCUUUGCCUCCUCUUCUCCCUGUGGCUGGAAAGGCUGGCCUGUCUGGCUGCCCAAGGAUAGAUGGGGAGAGGUUUAAUUGAAUCACCUACUGUGUUGGGUAAAGUAAACUGUCGUCAUUGCAAAUAUAAUCAGGACUGUAUUUUAACAGUAGAAAAUGUGAUUAUAAUGACAUAUUUAUCAGCUCCUUUCACCUGGGUGGAUCUGAGGACAUUUCAGAAAACAAGUGAUUGGAAUUGCUUGGCCUACCUCACACACUUACACACACACACUCUCACACACUCACAGAGACACACACUUAUAAGCACACACAGUCCUGUGCAUGCACACAAGUGUAUACGCACCCACGCACAUUUCCACAUGCAUGUGUGUGCACACUCACAUACACAAACACACAGAGACACACCCUUACAGGGCAUCUGGUGCUCUGGCCUGCUCUGACACGCAGCCCCUCCUGGGAGUGGGCAGUAAGCAUUGGGGGGACAUGUAGGUAGUCCCUGGGGAAGCUGGAAGGCUGACCACCUGGCGAGCAGCAGGGCGCACUCACUGGAGCCCCUGCCUGGAUGAGCUGGCUUUGCUCAGCUCCAGCUGUGGUUCCCUCUGUAGACUGUGGGAUCAGAAAGCCCUCAUCACAUGAUGUAACUCUCACAAGGCUGCAAUCUACUUCCCUGUCCAGGUCCCAGAGGCUCCAGGCUCUUUGUGGAGUCACCUGCUUGGGCAGCCACGGUUCUGUGGAGCUGCUUGUCAGAGAGUGCGCAGGCUCUGGAGUCAGUCAGACCUGGGUUUGACUGCUGACUCCAUCUCUUACCUGCUGUGUGGCCAUGAGCAAAUGCCUAUUCUCACUGGGACUCAGUUUCCUCAUCUACAAAGUGAAACGUGUUCAUACUUCCCUUAUGGUCAGUGAGGAUGGAAUGGGAUAACAUUCUGCACCCCGCCUGGCACCACAGGCAUAUGAGGUAUUCGAUAAGUGAAUGAUUGUGCCAGACAAGAAAGCUGCCUGCCCUCCUCCUCCUCGGCCCUGUGCAGGGACUGGGGUGGAUGAGAAAGCCCGUGUUUCCUGAACACCUGUUUGCACCAGGCACCUAUUUGGCUGCUGCCUGGAUGUCCUUCUCAGGUUCCAGCUCAGGUCUCUUGGACCAGUCCCCUGGUCUGGGGUAGGGAUGCCUGGAACGGCUCUAGCGGCAAGGCCAUAUCUCGCCAGGCUGCCAGGAUGAGCUGAGCAUUGUGUCCACGGUGGGUGUCUGAAGGAAAUAAUGUAUACAGUGGUCCAUUUCCAAGACCAAGUGCCUUGAAUCGGCUUAGGUCAGCAAACUAUAGAAGCAACAGGACAUACUAGGCCCCUGCUUGGAUAGCUGCUGCCUGCUUGUCGGCCUCCCCCUUCUUCCCUCUUCCCCACCCCCUUAGUUGCCCUCACCCGAACCAAAGAAGUUUAGAUAAAAGUUUAUUAGUCUGCAAGAUAGCUUGAUUUGUCUCUUCUUGUCAGCCUGCCUAGCUACUUAGGUCAUAAGUCAAACACUUGAAGAGCCCCUGAGCUGACUAGGAUUGCAAUGCAUUGUGAGCUGCAACAAAAUGCAGCAAGACAACCCUAAAAAAAAACACCUAAAGCCCCUACCUAACAAUCAAUAGGCAACAUCCGGGAAAAUUGUGACCCCAUAGUACUCAGUCUAUGAGCAACUGGGGGAGGGACCCGUACUCUAGGGAUAAACUGCUUGUCGAAACUGCUGGGUGUGCUUGUCCAUCAGACACCCGAUCUUGCAAGUUCAUCAUUAAAAGUUUCACUUUCGCUGUUCUCUGGGUAUCUGAGUCCAUUCUUUGGGUUUGGACGGCCUUCGGAGGCAGGCACUGCCGCUAUCCCACCGAGGAGGAGUCUGACACUGUGGGCGGUGAAGGCCACAGUUACCCGGUGAGUAGCUGGGCUGGACUCCACCCUUGCUCCCUCCUACAAUCAACCUCCUGCUCCUCCCAACAACUUUCCUGAAAGGAGGCAGUGACCACUGUGCCCUUGCAGCCUCCCCGGCAACCGACUUCUGAAUCAUCCCACUGCAGAGAUCUCAUUACCGCAGUGAGUGUGGCUCCAGCCUCCCCUCCCUUGGCUGCUAAUGAGCGCCCUAAUUUGAUUGCCUCCAAAUGAGUGUGAUGCAAAAUUAAAAGAUGCCAGAAGACAUGACCAUAAAUCCAGUGAGUUGGCUUCAAUUUAUUAUGUUUGAAUUCAAUUAGAUUUCUCCUCCGAUGUUUUCCGAAUAUUUAUCUAGCUGCUGGCUACAGAACGAUAACUGGAAGGGGCUGUUACUGUUUAAUUCCAGCCUCCUCCAUUCAGCUUGGGCUCUGGCAAUACCGUUGGAUGGAAAAUCUCAGCCUGGAUGUGGGGAGGUCAAGGGAGUUCAAGGUCAGCUGCUGAGCCUUCUGCCAGCCAGCCAGCAUAUUUCCUGUUGGGGAAGGGAUUCAAAGCAAUAUACCCUAUUAAAAUGUUUUAAAAAUGAUUUUUAGUGCAUAAACACUACAAGGGACUCCACAGAAGGGAGUGUUGGUGUCAAGGCCUUUGUUGUGUCACAGGCAGCAGGGGGGAUGGGGAUCUGGGGUCUGGGCUCAGCCUGGCCACGAACUUUGUGUGACUUGGGAAAAUCACUAACCUUUUCCAGCCUUGGCUUCUCCAUUUGCAAAACGACGGAGUUGGACUCUGGGAACUGUUUUCAGUGGCCCUGGAUUCUGCACUGCUACUCUCCUUUUAGUUUCAGGGUGUUUGCCCACUCUCCUUCCCCACCCCCACAGCCAUGUGUCCUGCUUGACCCUGGGAACCUGACGUCUUUAAGCUGCCUCUCAGGCUUUCUUACUGACUGGGCAGAGGUUGGAAUUAGCCAGUGGGAGACUCUAGCUGGAAGGCAAAAGUAUAGGAAGAGAGAGAGUGGUCAGUGUAUCCCCCCACCCCGUCCCCACUGCCCCUCCCCAAGGCUGUGUCUCUCCAAGACAUCAGCUCCUGCUGGAAACCCCUUCUCCACAUCUCUAGCUCUUACUGGCUGUGGCAACACUAUUCCUCUCUGUCUAGCCCCAUGAGUAACAGCAUCCUAGAGUUGUUUGUUUUCGUGCUUCUCAACAUCCCUGUUCAUCCUCUUCACCUGGCCACACUUCUGUAAGGACUACUGCCAUUAAAGUCUCAUCAUUUGAAGCAUUCAAUGCCAUUUCUUGCCAUGACCCUGAACAAUGCAGAUACUAAAUCCAUUUUUCGACUGUGGUUUUCCAUGGAGGGCUCCCCAGGUCUAGAGGGGAGCUGAGACAAAAGCAUUCCCGGCUUGGGAGCCUGUUGUGCAGUUGGGGAGGUCCCAGAGCACCAAGGCCAAGCUGGGGAGACGUUGUCCCUACGGGCAUGGCCAGGCCUCCGGCCUCAGGGAGGAGAGGGAGACGGUGAUCAUGGAGGGGAGGCCCUGGGAGUGAGAAGCUGGGGGAAUUGUUCCACCCUGCCCCUCCCCCCAACCUCCAGAGAGCGAAAGACGAUGGGAUGUGGGAGGAGGGCAAAGGGGAAGAGGAAGAGGCUCCCUGUCCUGCUGGGUCCUUAGCCAAGUUGGAAGAGGGAGAGUGAGAAGCCCGCAUCUAGGGUAAAGGAGUAUGCCCCCAGGGGAGGAGAGAAAGGCUGAUGACACAGAGGGCUCAUUUGCUCUGAAAUGGGCCUCCCAGUGGAACAGUGACGAAGAGGCAGAGUCAGCCGUGGCGGAAGAGCAGGAAGGAGAGGAGUCCCAGAGCAGGAUGGAGGGAGCAUCAGGGAGAUGGGUGGAUGGCCAGGGCUGGCCUAUGGGGCGAUGACCAAAGGUUGCAGGGGUGGGUUCAGGAAUGAGACCAAUGAAGUCUCCUGAUUUAUGGCUUCCAGCUUUGGUGUAAGUCAAUGACCCGAAUCUCUGGAGAAGGGUGGGGAAUCUGACUCUGAAUAUGUGGCCCAGGAGCCCUGCAUGAAGGAGCUGGGGCCUGAAGAGUAACUCUGCAUUGAGUACUAGGCCUCCAAAUCAGAUCCUGGCCAGCUGCUGUCUCUGAUGGCUCCCAGUCCUCCCCUCAGACCCACGGCCGUAGGCCAGACUGGCAGGGGCAAGAGGCAGGAGCCAAGUGGGACAUGUCCAGUGUCCUGGCCAAACAUACACUGGACGCAGAUGAGCCAUAUGCCUGGGAAACAGAGAAAUGGGGUGAGGCCAGGUCUUCUUGUGAGAAUGAAUGUGCCUUACUCUCUCCUGGAGAGAGGGUGAUGACAAGAGUUCAUUCAUUCAUUCAUAAUUGCUUUUUGAUUUAAGCAGGCGAGUUUGUUGUUUAACAGGCUGGGAACAUCUCUCUUUUAUUGAAACAUGUGACAUAGCAGGUUAAACUCCUAAAGAUUCAGCACAGCAGAUGAGAAUCAAGGAGUUUCCUUCUUAAAAAGCAUAACUUGCAUAUGAAUGAAGAUGAUUCCAAAUUAUGUUUUUUCCCCAUGACCCUAAAAUUUUAUCCCAAAUGGAGUUAUAAUAUUAGAUAUUGAUCAGAUCAGCAUUUCAUAUCAAAGCUCAGGACAUCCAUCUAAAUAUUUAAAAAUCUUUCACUCUCACAGCACAUCUUGUGAUCAAUGUAAAACAAACAGAUAGGAACAAAUCAAAUAUGAGAGAAGGGUUUAUGGUGAGAGAAAACAGUUUCUAUCCUCUCCCCUCCCCAGUCCUGGCCUCACUCUCCAGAGGCAACUUCUUGUAAACAUUUCCAUUUUUAGUACUUCUGGUGGGUGCCUCCACAAUGCUUAGUAGCAUGUAUAGGCACCCUUAUUUUUUUAUUCAUCUGGAGAAAAUUUAUCUACCUCCUGUGAUGGAACAUAAGAAAUGGCCUCAUUAUGCACCUCUGCUUCCUCCCUUCAUCCUUCCAAAGUUUUAUCAUUUUGGCAUAAUUAUUUUUAGUUUUCUGUUAUUUACUUUUAAAACUUUAAACCAUAUAAUUGUACUUUGAUUCUGCAUUCCAUCCACCUCAGGGAGAGUAACGGUCUGGGGCGGUCAGGUUGGGUCUGUUCCCAUACCCUCCCCUUCUUCUGAAAGGACUCUCCCCUCCCUCCCGGGGGCCUGUGCCCAUGACCAGCCAGUCACAGGGCCAGGCAUAUGUCCUGGGCCCUGGCCACUGUGGGAUACAGGCAUGCUCCCCAAUCUUGACCACUAGGAAUCCUGCAGGACUUUCACUACUAAAACUGCUCUCUUCAGGUCACAACAGUAACUAUCAGUUCAACUACAACAAAGGUUUCUGAAGACAAUGGCUUCUCCACCCAAGCAGGUUGUAUAUAAAUUCCAAAUAGAACUUGGCAUCACCCUGAAGGAAUUCUAACUUCACACUGUUGGGGAAAUUUACCAAGAUAGCUUCAGAGUAAACUAACUUUACACAGCACAUUAAAACAAAAGACAUUUAUUCAGCGUCAUGAUCAGACUAUUACAUUUAGCAAUCAACAGCAUGGGUGCAAAAAAAAAAAAAACCUAUAUUAAAACCCUUAGCUGGAAUGCUUUACACUUUCCA
rnacentral:lncRNA from 1 species